AGCUAAAUAGUUUAUUAAAACAUUAAUUUUGUAAAUUAAAAAUAAAGAAAUUUUUUAGCUU
rnacentral:tRNA from 1 species